AUUGAACGCUGGCGGCAGGCCUAACACCUGCAAGUCGAACGAGUGGCGGACGGGUGAGUAAUGUCUGGGACACUGCCUGAUGGCGGGGGAUAACUACUGGAAACGGUAGCUAAUACCGCAUACCAUCAGAUGUGCCACGAUGGGAUUAGCUAGUAGGUGGGGUAACGGCGCACCUAGGCGACGAUCCCUAGCUGGUCUGAGAGGAUGACCAGCCACCCUGGAACUGAGACACGGUCCAGACUCCGACGGGAGGCAGCAGUGGGGAAUAGUGCACAAUGGGCGCAAGCCUGAGGAAGCCAUGCCGCGUGUAUGAAGAAGGCCUGCGGGUUGUAAAGUACUUUCAGCGGGUAGGCGUUACCCGCAGAAGAAGCACCGGCUAACUCCGUGCCAGCAGCCGCGGUAAUUC
rnacentral:rRNA from 1 species